ACUUUUUAUUGAUUUAUUUAAGCCUUUGUGAUUGUUUGUCAAUAUUAAAGUCGCUAUCUGCUUUCUGCACAAAACUGUCGAAUUUGCAGCUUUGGUUAAGUCUGCUGUGGUUACUGGACAUGUGGUAUUUGGACAACACUUCUGAAUCCGCAGCUUCGGUGUUUUAAGGCUGUUUCGGUAUGGAGAAGAAGUGGGAAGAGAUUUACACAUUCAUUUCUGCGGGCUCCUACCCUUCAGGAUAUGACAAGGCUCAGAGGCAAAACCUCAGAAGAUAUGCCUCAAAAUUCAAACAAAAGGAUGGAGAACUCUUUGUUGGAACCAGAAGAGUAGUAAAAACCAUGGAUGAUGCCAGGAAGAUCUUUCAUGAGUUUCAUUCAUCUCCAGUCGGAGGACACACUGGCACACACAAAACGCUAAAUGCAGUGUGUUCCAGAGUUUACUGGUUUGGUAUGACAGUUGACAUUAAAUUUCUUUUUCAGUU